GACGAACGCUGGCGGCGUGCUUAACACACGCAAGUCGAGCGGAAAGGCCACUUCGGUGGUACUCGAGCGGCGAACGGAUGAGUAACACGUGAGUAAUCUGCCCUUCACUUUGGGAUAACCCCCGGAAACGGGAGCUAAUACCGGAUACGACCUCCGUCCGCAUGGGCUGGUGGUGGAAACUUUUUUUGGGUGGGGGAUGUGCUCGCGGCCUAUCAGCUUGUUGGUGGGGUAAUGGCCUACCAAGGCUUUGACGGGUAGCCGGCCUGAGAGGGUGACCGGCCACACUGGGACUGAGACACGGCCCAGACUCCUACGGGAGGCAGCAGUGGGGAAUAUUGGACAAUGGGCGGAAGCCUGAUCCAGCAGCGCCGCGUGAGGGAUGACGGCCUUCGGGUUGUAAACCUCUUUCAGCACCGACGAAGCGCAAGUGACGGUAGGUGCAGAAGAAGGACCGGCCAACUACGUGCCAGCAGCCGCAGUAACAC
rnacentral:rRNA from 1 species